rnacentral:tRNA from 1 species
GCCUGGGUGGCUCAGUGGGUUAAGCAUCCGACUUUGGCUCAGGUCAUGAUCUCACAGUUUGUGGGUUCGAGCCCCAUGUCGGGCU